ensembl:snoRNA U3 Small nucleolar RNA U3
AAGACUAUACUUUUAGGGAUCACUUCUAUAGUUUGUCACUCUGAACAUACACAAUCCCAGAAACCGUGAGGAGGAAGUACAGCGUCCUUUUCUGAGCAUGAAGCUAGCUCUGGGUGUUGCUUCUGCAGCUGCAGGCAAACAUCAAUGAUCUUUCUUCCCUGCGCUAGAAGAGCAAGAAGGAAGGGAAACAAUCUCAGUGCGGG